AGGCGGGGGCCACCGCCGAGGGGGUUCUUGCCCCCCACUUUGCAACACGCACUUCUCCCCCCCCCCUCCCCAACCCUCCUCCCAGGCCAGGGCCACCGACCCAAAACGUGGCUAAAGGCGACCAGGCCGAGCUGUUGAGGAAUGCUGGGGUUUGGCGGCGGAAAGGAUGGGACCAGAGAGAGAUGGGGUGCGAAGGAGACCCCAGUAAGGGCAGGGCUUUGCAGGCAAAGAAGGGGAAGAAGAGGCCAAGAAGUCAAAGGCCAGGCUGUGAAGGAGAAUAAAGGAGGUCAAAGAGAGGUCGUAUCUUCGUGUGCCUCACUUCCUGACACAAACAAGUUUUCACUGUUGUAAGCAACAAAGCCCUAAUAUAGCUGCGGGGGGGAAAAGAAACCUGCAUCGCAUUUUUUGUUCUCCUGCAAAGCAUCAUUCACAGCUACGGAGCAAUGUAAUUCCAGAAAGCUUUAAAGCUGGUGGUGAUGGUAAUUAUGUAUCCAAUGCCCGAUUCUGUUAUUAUUGCCCUGUCAUUUCUGUUCUACCCAAGAGCUGGCUGAGCUCACAGAGGUACAGAUCAGGCUUUUCUUUUUGACCUGGUAAAAUGUAAUCGCACCUGAUGGAGAGAACCCAUUGCUCUUGGGGGGAAAUAAAAGUGGGAGCCGCGAAAUGUCAUUUUCACAGAGCGUGGGUUUUUGUGACUGUAGGGAAGGAUUGAAGGACGCUCCUUCUGUUCGGUUUUUCUAUGUCAGGAGCCUAGGCUGCUCGCGCACACAGACGCCACAGCUCCCGGAUGCUGCGGCUCCCUUAUCCGGGCUCGGGCAGCGCCGGGAGCCCCCCGCACCCCCCCCCCCCCCAGGACGCCGCGAGGGGCUGGCGGUGGGUGGUGGUGCGUGUGCCCAGCCCGCGGCCGCCAGUCCUGCCGCCGCCGCCGCCGCCGCUGCUGUUGUUGCCGCCGCCGCCGCCGCUGCUGCAGUCACGUGGGAGCCCCUUUAAGUUUCCAUAGAGAAGCCUCUCCGGUGUCACAUGAUGGACAUGAUAUAAUGAAACAACACCGUGGAGAGGGAGGCAUUCGGCGAGCCCACGGCUACGAAAACAAGUGAGUGCGGAGAGGUGGGAGGAAGAGAAACUACGCCACCGCCCCUGCAGCCGAGCCGCGCGCCGCCGCAGCGGCAGCAGCGGCAGCAGCAGCGGGGCGAGGGGAAGGGGCGCCGCCGGGGGCAGGCGGGGAGGCUGCGGGACCCGAUCCCCGGCCCCGGCCCGCAGACCCCGCCGCCCACCGCGGAGAGAGCGGCUCCCAGCUGCCCGCAGCCGGGCCCGCCCUGCACCUGUCUCCGGGGCCUCCGUCCUCCCCGUGACGAUCUAGGGGAAAUUCUAGAAGAAGACGCGCUGCAAAUACUACGUGCGCAUCGUUUUCUGAGGAAAGAGAAAGGGAUCUGAGCCGCCGCGGGUGCUCUGCCCCAAGCACCACCAAGCCUCCCUGGAAUGGCGCUGCUACUCGGUUCGCUGCUGGAGGGAAGAAGGAGGAUUUUGCCUCUUGUUUUCAGGCAGUUGUUUGACAGCGUUUAUUAAUGCUUUUCAGAGUCGGAAGAGGCGAUUGUUUUACCAUCUGGAGUUUCUGGGCCUGGCUGACCUGAGCCUAACCUGCCAGUUUAUGGGAGAUGAUAGACAACACUGGGAACAGCUGAUCAGGUGGAUUCCUGCAGCAGGGCUCCCUCCCACCUGCCACUGAGCCUUCUCUGUCCCCUGGCAACCGCCUGACGACCUCCUAGUUUUUCUCCUUUCGCACUGCCUGAGUCAUCUUUCCUGGUUUCACCUCUGUCAAACCGUCUUCCGUCAAAAGG